CAGUAGCGCGGUGAUACGAAGGGGGCUAGCGUUGUUCGGAUUAACUGGGCGUAAAGGGCGCGUAGGCGGGUUUUUAAGUCAGAGGUGAAAUCCCAAGGCUCAACCUUGGAACUGCCUUUGAUACUGGAAGUCUUGAGUCCGGGAGAGGUGAGUGGAACUGCGAGUGUAGAGGUGAAAUUCGUAGAUAUUCGCAAGAACACCAGUGGCGAAGGCGGCUCACUGGCCCGGUACUGACGCUGAGGCGCGAAAGCGUGGGGAGCAAACAGGAUUAGAUACCCGCGUAGUCCCUGUCUCUUAUACA
rnacentral:rRNA from 1 species